rnacentral:misc_RNA from 1 species
AACACGUCCCAGAAAAUGUGGACGUAUAAAAUCAGCAAGCAGGGCACCAUUAGGUGUCAGUACAAUCAGAUGCGUGACAUCACCCCACAAUAUAUAGUUUACAACAGGACAUUCUUGCACAAUGAACAAAGACUUAGGAUCGAGACUUAUUGGUACAGAAACAUUGCUCUACAUGGCUAAAAAUGCAUCGUGUGGUGUUGUGAUGAUCCAUCCAACAGGGAAUGGAGUGACUUAUUACGAACUUCGCGUUAGAAACGCUUACAUUGACACUGUUCCUGAUCGACACUGCGGAAGACACUUUCGUCGUGUAGCUGGAAGUGGCAUAUUUACUUACCGUCCAGACUGUAAGAAUAUGACCAUACCACGCAAGUGAACGCUUCAUAGAUAGGAGGUAGGCG